rnacentral:piRNA from 1 species
UUGGCCUGCUCUGGACUCUUGAAGUG